rnacentral:rRNA from 1 species
GAUGAACGCUGGCGGCGUGCCUAAUACAUGCAAGUCGAGCGAACAGACGAGGAGCUUGCUCCUCUGACGUUAGCGGCGGACGGGUGAGUAACACGUGGAUAACCUACCUAUAAGACUGAGAUAACUUCGGGAAACCGGAGCUAAUACCGGAUAAUAUAUUGAACCGCAUGGCUCAAUAGUGAAAGACGGUUUUGCUGUCACUUAUAGAUGGAUCCGCGCCGCAUUAGCUAGUUGGUAAGGUAACGGCUUACCAAGGCAACGAUGCGUAGCCGACCUGAGAGGGUGAUCGGCCACACUGGAACUGAGACACGGUCCAGACUCCUACGGGAGGCAGCAGUAGGGAAUCUUCCGCAAUGGGCGAAAGCCUGACGGAGCAACGCCGCGUGAGUGAUGAAGGUCUUCGGAUCGUAAAACUCUGUUAUUAGGGAAGAACAAAUGUGUAAGUAACUAUGCACGUCUUGACGGUACCUAAUCAGAAAGCCACGGCUAACUACGUG